UACGGGAGGCAGCAGUGGGGAAUAUUGCACAAUGGGCGCAAGCCUGAUGCAGCCAUGCCGCGUGUAUGAAAAAGGCCUUCGGGUUGUAAAGUACUUUCAGUCGUGAGGAAGGUGUUAAGGUUAAUAACCUUAGCAAUUGACGUUAGCGACAGAAGAAGCACCGGCUAACUCCGUGCCAGCAGCCGCGGUAAUACGGAGGGUGCGAGCGUUAAUCGGAAUUACUGGGCGUAAAGGGCACGCAGGCGGUUAAUUAAGUUGGAUGUGAAAUCCCCGGGCUUAACCUGGGAAUGGCAUUCAAGCUGGUUAGCUAGAGUCUUGUAGAGGGGGGUAGAAUUCCAUGUGUAGCGGUGAAAUGCGUAGAGAUGUGGAGGAAUACCGGUGGCGAAGGCGGCCCCUGGACAAAGACUGACGCUCAUGUGCGAAAGCGUGGGGAGCAAACAGGGAUUAGAUACC
rnacentral:rRNA from 1 species